rnacentral:miRNA from 9 species
GCUGGUUUCACGAUUAUCGAACA